AGUGAACGCUGGCGGUAUGCCUAACACAUGCAAGUCGAACGGCAGCACAGUAAGAGCUUGCUCUUACGGGUGGCGAGUGGCGGACGGGUGAGGAAUACAUCGGAAUCUACUUUUUCGUGGGGGAUAACGUCGGGAAACUUACGCUAAUACCGCAUACGACCUACGGGUGAAAGCAGGGGAUCUUCGGACCUUUCGCUAUUGAAUGAGCCGAUGUCGGAUUAGCUAGUUGGCGGGGUAAAGGCCCACCACGGCGACGAUCCGUAGCUGGUCUGAGAGGAUGAUCAGACACACUGGAACUGAGACACGGUCCAGACUCCUACGGGAGGCAGCAGUGGGGAAUAUUGGACAAGGGGCGCAAGCCUGAUCCAGCCAUACCGCGUGGGUGAAGAAGGCCUUCGGGUUGUAAAGCCAUUUUGUUGGGAAAGAAAAGCAGCAGGUUAAUACCCCGCUGUUCUGACGGUACCCAAAGAAUAAGCACCGGCUAACUUCGUG
rnacentral:rRNA from 1 species